rnacentral:rRNA from 1 species
GAUGAACGCUGGCGGCGUGCCUGAGAUAUGCAAGUCGAACGUCGUUCUGUCGCAAGACAGAAUGUAGUGGCGGACGGCUGAGUAAUGCGCAGGAAUCUGCCCCGGAAUAUUGGAUAGCCCCGCGAAAGCGGGGAUAAUACGAUAUAGUUUCCUCCUCUGGAGGAAUAAAGUACGUAACUGUACGUUCCGGGAUGAGCCUGCGUCCUAUCAGGUAGUUGGUGGGGUAAUGGCCUACCAAGCCUAUUACGGGUAGCUGGCCUGAGAGGGUGGUCAGCCAGAGGGGGACUGAGACACGGCCCCCACUCCUACGGGAGGCAGCAAUCAGGAAUAGUCGGCAAUGGGCGCAAGCCUGACCGCGCGACGCCGCGUGUAGGAAUAAGCUCUUACGAGUGUAAACUACUGUGGCGAAGGAUGAAGUCGCCCUAUGGGCGAUUGACAGUACUUCGUUAGAAAGGGGCCGCUAACUGCGUGCCAGAAGCGUCGGUAAUACGUGGGCCCCAAGCGUUAUCCGGUAUCACUGGGCAUAAAGGGUCGUGUAGGCGUCUCAUCAAGUUUCCAUUUAAAUAUCAAGGCUUAACCUUGAAAAAGGUGGGAAAACUGAUGGGAUAGAAUUUCCUUAAGGGGGAUUGGAACUGAGGGAGGAGUAGUGAAAUGCGUUGAUACCCUCGGGAACACCAGUGGCGAAGGCGAAUCUCUGGAAGGAAAUUGACGCUGAGACACGAAAGCUAGGGGAGCGAAGCAGAUUAGAGACCUGCGUAGUCCUAGCUGUAAACGCAUGCUUGCUAGCUGCAUGUCCUGAUUUAUCAGGACGUGUGGCGAAGGAAAUCCGUUAAGCAAGCCGCCUGGGGAGUACGACCGCAAGGUUAAAACUCAAAGGAAUUGGCGGGGAGGCACACAACCAGUGGAACAUGUGGUUCAAUUCGAUACAAACCGAAGCACCUCACCAGGGUUUGAAAUACGAGAGUUCUAUUCUAUGGAAACAUAGAAGAUGCGCAAGCAGGCUCGUACAGGUGCUGCAUGGCUGUCGUCAGCUCGUUCCGUGAGGAGUACCCUUAAGUGGGACAACGAGCGCAACCCCCAUCCUGUGUUAUAUGUAUCACAGGGGACUGCUCCGCCUUUGGCGGGGAGGAAGGAGGGGCAGACGUCAAGUCAGCAUGGUCCUUAUACCCUGGGCUACACACAUGUUACAAUGAAUGUUCAACAAUGGGUUUUGCCAACCGGUAACGGUGAGCGAAUCCCAGAAAUACUUUCUCAGUGGGGAUUGAGGUCUGCAACUCGACCUCAUGAACAUGGAAUUGGUAGUAAUCGCGGAUCAGCUAUGCCGCGGUGAAUACGUUCUUGCCUCUUGCACACACCGCCCGUCAAGCCAACAAAGUCGGGGACAUUUGAACUCCGCCAUUCGGCGGGGGAGAGUAUCGUCGGCGAUGAGGGUU